rnacentral:rRNA from 1 species
GACGAACGCUGGCGGCGUGCUUAACACAUGCAAGUCGAGCGGAAAGGCUCCUUCGGGGGUACUCGAGCGGCGAACGGGUGAGUAACACGUGAGUAAUCUGCCCUGUGCUCUGGGAUAGCCACCGGAAACGGUGAUUACUACCGGAUACAACCACUAUAGGCAUCUAUUGGUGGUGGAAAGUUUUUUCGGCACGGGAUGUGCUCGCGGCCUAUCAGCUUGUUGGUGAGGUAAUGGCUCACCAAGGCUUUGACGGGUAGCCGGCCUGAGAGGGUGACCGGUCACACUGGGACUGAGACACGGCCCAGACUCCUACGGGAGGCAGCAGUGGGGAAUAUUGGACAAUGGGCGGAAGCCUGAUCCAGCAACGCCGCGUGAGGGAUGACGGCCUUCGGGUUGUAAACCUCUUUCAGUACCGACGAAGCGCAAGUGACGGUAGGUACAGAAGAAGGACCGGCCAACUACGUGCCAGCAGCCGCGGUAACAC